rnacentral:lncRNA from 1 species
GAAUUUAUAUUCCUUGUCAGCCAAAUUUCUAUUACAAAAAUAAUGGCUAAAGGAAGAAACCAUAAAGAGGAGCAACACCGAUGACUUCACCGACAAGCCACACCGAUUGGUCCGAGCUACGCCAAUAGGCCACUAAAAGUCCCCAUGUGAAGACCCUACCGCUGACGAAGGUCACAGUCUCCUCAGAGGAUGUAUCGACAGUUAGGUGGCUAUCCUUCUCAGGAGCAUGUACUCCAUGGAUGCCCUAUCAGAGACUAUCAUUGAAGCCAUCUCAGUGAGGAGGGAGGAGGUACCCCAUCGAAAGAUCGAAGAUCCCUCUUUCGGAUGCUACGUAGGAGAAAUCUCCCAAGGCCAUUGGUCGGAGAGCUCCCCUGGUGAGAUGUCAAUUUUCAAUACCUCCCGCACCAAGCCAAGGUCCUUGUAAUGGCGACUUUUCUUAAACGAUCGGUGAUAACCUGACCAGAGGAACUAGCAGCCUUGACUAGGAAGAUAGGCAUCCCCAUAUGUGAAAGAGACAUCUACUUCUCCCCAGUGUCAAGAGGAAUCACUCC